CCUACGGGAUGCAGCAGUGAGGAAUAUUGGUCAAUGGGCGAGAGCCUGAACCAGCCAAGUCGCGUGAGGGAAGACGGUCCUAUGGAUUGUAAACCUCUUUUGCCGGGGAGCAAAACGCGGUACGUGUACCGCAUCGAGAGUACCCGGCGAACAAGCAUCGGCUAACUCCGUGCCAGCAGCCGCGGUAAUACGGAGGAUGCGAGCGUUAUCCGGAUUUAUUGGGUUUAAAGGGUGCGCAGGCGGAGAGUUAAGUCAGCGGUAAAAUUUCGGGGCUCAACCCCGACGCGCCGUUGAAACUGGCGUGCUAGAGUGGGCGAGAAGUAUGCGGAAUGCGUGGUGGAGCGGUGAAAUGCAUAGAUAUCACGCAGAACUCCGAUUGCGAAGGCAGCAUACCGGCGCCCAACUGACGCUCAGGCACGAAAGCGUGGGUAUCGAACAGGAUUAGAUACCCUUGUAGUC
rnacentral:rRNA from 1 species